rnacentral:tRNA from 1 species
GGGCGAGUGAUGAAACUGGCAGACAUGUAGCGUUCAGAGCGCUAUGAGCGCAAGCUCGUGGAGGUUCAAAUCCUCUCUCGCCCACCA